GCCGAGAUGGCAGAAUCCGGUAAUGCGCCAGACUUGAGAUCUGGUGCCCUUCGGGGCUUGGGAGUUCGAAUCUCCCUCUCGGCG
rnacentral:tRNA from 1 species